UACGUAGGGUGCGAGCGUUAAUCGGAAUUACUGGGCGUAAAGCGCACGUAGGCGGUUCGUUAAGUCAGAUGUGAAAGCCCCGGGCUCAACUCGGGAAGUGCAUUUGGAACUGGCGAGCUUGAAUAUGGAAGAGGGUCGCGGAAUUCCCGGUGUAGAGGUGAAAUUCGUAGAUAUCUGGAGGAACACCGGUGGCGAAGGCGGCAUCCUGGACCGAGAUUGACGCUGAGGCGCGAAAGCCAGGGGAGCAAACGGG
rnacentral:rRNA from 1 species